rnacentral:rRNA from 1 species
CAGGCUUAACACAUGCAAGUCGAGGGGCAGCAUGGUCUUAGCUUGCUAAGGCCGAUGGCGACCGGCGCACGGGUGAGUAACACGUAUCCAACCUGCCGUCUACUCUUGGACAGCCUUCUGAAAGGAAGAUUAAUACAAGAUGGCAUCAUGAGUCCACAUGUUCACAUGAUUAAAGGUAUUCCGGUAGCCGAUGGGGAUGCGUUCCAUUAGAUAGUAGGCGGGGUAACGGCCCACCUAGUCUUCGAUGGAUAGGGGUUCUGAGAGGAAGGUCCCCCACAUUGGAACUGAGACACGGUCCAAACUCCUACGGGAGGCAGCAGUGAGGAAUAUUGGUCAAUGGGCGAGAGCCUGAACCAGCCAAGUAGCGUGAAGGAUGACUGCCCUAUGGGUUGUAAACUUCUUUUAUAAAGGAAUAAAGUCGGGUAUGCAUACCCGUUUGCAUGUACUUUAUGAAUAAGGAUCGGCUAACUCCGUGCCAGCAGCCGCGGUAAUACGGAGGAUCCGAGCGUUAUCCGGAUUUAUUGGGUUUAAAGGGAGCGUAGAUGGAUGUUUAAGUCAGUUGUGAAAGUUUGCGGCUCAACCGUAAAAUUGCAGUUGAUACUGGAUAUCUUGAGUGCAGUUGAGGCAGGCGGAAUUCGUGGUGUAGCGGUGAAAUGCUUAGAUAUCACGAAGAACUCCGAUUGCGAAGGCAGCCUGCUAAGCUGCAACUGACAUUGAGGCUCGAAAGUGUGGGUAUCAAACAGGAUUAGAUACCCUGGUAGUCCACACGGUAAACGAUGAAUACUCGCUGUUUGCGAUAUACUGCAAGCGGCCAAGCGAAAGCGUUAAGUAUUCCACCUGGGGAGUACGCCGGCAACGGUGAAACUCAAAGGAAUUGACGGGGGCCCGCACAAGCGGAGGAACAUGUGGUUUAAUUCGAUGAUACGCGAGGAACCUUACCCGGGCUUAAAUUGCAGAUGAAUUACGGUGAAAGCCGUAAGCCGCAAGGCAUCUGUGAAGGUGCUGCAUGGUUGUCGUCAGCUCGUGCCGUGAGGUGUCGGCUUAAGUGCCAUAACGAGCGCAACCCUUGUUGUCAGUUACUAACAGGUUCCGCUGAGGACUCUGACAAGACUGCCAUCGUAAGAUGUGAGGAAGGUGGGGAUGACGUCAAAUCAGCACGGCCCUUACGUCCGGGGCUACACACGUGUUACAAUGGGGGGUACAGAGGGCCGCUACCACGCGAGUGGAUGCCAAUCCCAAAAACCUCUCUCAGUUCGGACUGGAGUCUGCAACCCGACUCCACGAAGCUGGAUUCGCUAGUAAUCGCGCAUCAGCCACGGCGCGGUGAAUACGUUCCCGGGCCUUGUACACACCGCCCGUCAAGCCAUGGGAGCCGGGGGUACCUGAAGUGCGUAACCGCGAGGAGCGCCCUAGGGUAAAACUGGUGACUGGGGC